rnacentral:rRNA from 1 species
AUUGAACGCUGGCGGCAGGCCUAAAACAUGCAAGUCGAACGAGUGGCGGACGGGUGAGUAAUGUCUGGGACACUGCCUGAUGGAGGGGGAUAACUACGGGAAACGGUAGCUAAUACCGCAUACCAGCAGAUGUGCCCAGCGGGGUGUAGUGUGUUGGUGGGGUAACGGCUCACCAGGGGGACGAUCCCUAGCUGGUCUGAGAGGAGGACCAGCCACAAUGGAACUGAGACCCGGUGCAGACGCCUACGGGAGGCAGCAGUGGGCAAUCUUGCACAAUGGGCGAAAGGCUGAUGAAGCCAUGCCGCGUGUAUGAAGAAGGCCUUCGGGUUGUAAAUGACUUUUAGCGGGGAGGCGUUAUUCGCAGAAGAAGCAACGGCUAACUCAGUGCCAGCCGCCGCGGUAAUUC